rnacentral:rRNA from 1 species
UACGUAGGGCGCAAGCGUUGUCCGGAAUUAUUGGGCGUAAAGAGCUCGUAGGCGGUUUGUUGCGUCUGCCGUGAAAACCCGAGGCUUAACCUCGUGGCUUGCGGUGGAUACGGGCAGACUAGAGGUAGGUAGGGGAGAAUGGAAUUCCCGGUGUAGCGGUGAAAUGCGCAGAUAUCGGGAGGAACACCCGUGGCGAAGGCGGUUCUCUGGGACGGUACUGACGCUGAGACGCGAAAGCGUGGGGAGCGAACAGG